CCUACGGGAGGCAGCAGUGGGGAAUUUUGGACAAUGGGGGCAACCCUGAUCAGCCAUUCCGCGUGAGUGAAGAAGGCCUUCGGGUUGUAAAGCUCUUUCAGCUGGAACGAAACGGUACGUUCUAACAUAGCGUGCUAAUGACGGUACCAGCAGAAGAAGCACCGGCUAACUACGUGCCAGCAGGCGCGGUAAU
rnacentral:rRNA from 1 species